UACGUAGGGCGCAAGCGUUUGUCCCGGAAUUAUUGGGCGUAAAGAGCUCGUAGGCGGUCUGUUACGUCCGCUGUGAAAACCCAGGGCUUAACCCUGGGCUUGCAGUGGAUACGGGCAGACUAGAGGCAGGUAGGGGAGAAUGGAAUUCCCGGUGUAGCGGUGAAAUGCGCAGAUAUCGGGAGGAACACCGGUGGCGAAGGCGGUUCUCUGGGCCUGACCUGACGCUGAGGAGCGAAAGCGUGGGGAGCGAACAGG
rnacentral:rRNA from 1 species